rnacentral:rRNA from 1 species
UACGUAGGGGGCGAGCGUUGUCCGGAUUCAUUGGGCGUAAAGAGCUCGUAGGCGGUUCGCUAAGUCAGGUGUGAAAUCUCCGCGCUCAACGCGGAGGGGCCACCUGAUACUGGCGUGACUCGAGUCCGGUAGGGGAGUGUGGAAUUCCCGGUGUAGUGGUGAAAUGCGUAGAUAUCGGGAGGAACACCAGUGGCGAAGGCGACUACCUGGCCUGUUCUUGACGCUGAGGCGCGAAAGCUAGGGGAGCAAACGGG